rnacentral:lncRNA from 1 species
UCCACGGUAUUGGACAGCCCGUCCAGAACUCAGUAGGUGGUCAACCGUAACAGUGAUAACAAUGAUGGAAGAACUCAUCUUGGGUAAACAUGAGAUGAUAGGUUAGCCAAGGAAUGGCUAUAUGAUGGAUGACCUCAUGAUUUGGAUUGGAUUGGGAUCAGUCUAGUUGGAACUAUGAGUAUGUCGAGGGUUGUGGGACAACCCAGAAGAGAGUAAGUUGGUAUUCGGUAACAGCAAGUACUUCAAGUACCUAGUGAGAUUAUUGCCAUGAUAUGUAGAUUACAAGCUUGAUCCAUGUUAUGCUAUGCUUGAUCCAUGUUUUCCUGUUAAUUCCAUGCCAUGCUUAGAAUAGUUACAAGCAUAGGGCUAGCUUUGUCAUCUGCUUGUUUCGAUACUAUGUAUUUGGUUGUCUUGCGAGUACAUUCAAAGUACUCAUGUGGCCUUGCUCGUGGCCAGUUGCAGGAGAAGGUCCGUCGUGCUAGAUCAUAACCCAACCAGUCCUAUGAGUUAUGAAGCCCAACCAAAGUCGUCGCUGCCGCUGAACCAAGACCUCCGUUGCCAUUUAGUCAGCCUUGGAGCUAUGUAAUAUUGUUGUAAUCAACAGUAUUGUAAUACUCCAAUAUGAUCAAUAAAGCCAUUUUGUGUCUGGAAUUGCGGUAUCAUGUCUUUGACGUGUGUGAGGUCUUAUCCUGGGGCUGGCGUGCGUCGGCCCUCUAUCGGGGUGCCACACAAGCCUAAUGUUUUGUUGUCUUUUAGUUUUGCCAGGUUUCUAUGUAGCUUGUACUAUGUUUUUUAGGAUAUAAAAAUGUGGUAAGUAUUAAAGUCACAUACAUAUGACGUGAUAAACUGAAAAAUAACAGAAGACUGGCCUUUGCACAAACAAAUACAAAGAAAAUUGAUAGAGUAACAACAAGUAUUUUGCAAACCAACCUCUGUUCGGAUGUUUAGAGGGACAUUGGUAUCUCUAACCCAUCAGGAUUCAGAACUUGGUGCUUGCAUUAUUUCUGGAUUUAUUUCAGGAUUUUCGGUGACAUGCUUUCAGUGGGAGGAGACGUUCCCGUCGACGAUGAGGCACCUACAAUGACUUCUUAUAUCUCAAGAUGAUAUGUCGGUUUGGUCUAUGAGAGGUGCUCGUAGAGGUAGGGUAUGUGUGUAUGCAUUCAUAAGAGUGAGUAUAUGCGCGUGUAUAUGAGCGCUUACGUGUGUAUUGUGUUAAACCUUGAAUUUGUAUUGGUCAGACGGAAUGAACCCCUAAGUCAAAAUCCCGAUCAAUUGUACCCUGAACUAUGCAAUCCCGAUCUAAAUCAAACCCUCUUAUCGUGUCAACUCGGAUUUAUGUG